rnacentral:rRNA from 1 species
UACAGAGGUCUCGAGCGUUAGGCGGAAUCAUUGGGCGUAAAGCGCGUGUAGGCGGCUCGAUAAGUCUGCUGUGAAAGUCCAGGGCUCAACCCUGGGAUGCCGGUGGAUACUGUCGAGCUCGAGUCCGGAAGAGGCGAGUGGAAUUCCUGGUGUAGCGGUGAAAUGCGCAGAUAUCAGGAGGAACACCAAUGGCGAAGGCAGCUCGCUGGGACGUGACUGACGCUGAGACGCGAAAGCGUGGGGAGCAAACAGG